rnacentral:lncRNA from 1 species
UUCCAGAUUUUAAUUCAUAACACGUAAAUGAUAAAUAUUUGAGGACUCAAAGGAGAUAAAAAAUGAGAUCAGUGGCUGUAAUGAACAACAAUUAAGGAAUAAUUCAGCCUAUGAACAUUGGUAGUUAAGCUUCAGAUCCACAUAAUGAAAGGCAUAAAUAAGAUGACGCCACUUUAAAUGAUUAUCACCAGCAGACCCCAUGAAGCACCAGCUGGGGCAUGGUCAAAUGUCAUGGGUUAUUUUGUAGUUUAAGUAAUAAAUGUUUAAUCAAAGAAUUUUACAUAUUAUU